UGAAGAAUUGUUCAGGAGAGUGGGGAAUUACUCAUUUCCUAGUUUACUGGUGGGGAUCUGCCUUAUGUAUUGCUACACCUAGGAUGUAUUUUUAACUCUCCUGUGGUAACUAUAGCAUACGUACAGAUGGACUUACUGAAGGAUAGAUAAAACAUACUACAAAUUACACAGACUGUGCACAGGGAUACUAGGAAUGUGGCUGGCUGUAGAAGUACCUAGCUCUUGCAGUCACUAAUGUUUUUUUAAUUGAGACAAUACUAGAUAGUCUGGUUGCUUUUUUGUCUUUUUUUCUUCAUUUGUUUGCCUAUACGCUUGUAAAGGACAGGUUGAAAUCAGGACUCAUGUAGCAGAGGCAUUCACAAAGUGGGCUGCUUCUGAGGCCAGACCAGUCCCAUCUGUAAAGGACAAAGGCUGCUCACUGCAUGGUUGUUCAGAGCUGUUCAAGGAUGGAAAACGCAAGGAAUCAUAGAGCCUGCCUUUCAGAUAAACCUUAUCCCUGCAAGUGUACUGGUACUUGAAAAAGAGUCCUUGAAUAACCUGCACAGAAGCUGAACCACCAGAGAGAUGCUACUUUGGAAAAGCAAGCAGAGGAAGGUACCAGAAGCAGUUCAGAGGAAACACUUCUGAAAGUCAUCUGAGCUGGUGUCCCACGUGGUUUUCCUGGAGUGCAUGUUCUUCACACCAGGAAUUUGUGGUUCUCCUACAGUGCACACCCCACAGAUACAAACACACGAGGGCCUUUUGAAGAACAGCAGUUGCUGGGAGAAAGCAGGGUGUUUGAACAGGAAUGAAGGCAUCAGUACCUGAUACCCCUUUUGUCAGGUAAGCCAAGAGCAUGAAUGGGAUGUUCUGCCAGUCUCGAGGCAUUAAAUAUUUCUGCUUUGACUUACACCAGCUCCGAGCUGUUGUCAGAAAAACCAUUAGCUGCUUACGUCCAGACACUAAGCUAAAUCCUGGCUCCAGUGAGGCCAGUCAUAAAACUCAAAUUGAUUUCAGCAGCAAUAGAUAUUAGUCUCCCAGGCAAUGGUCAAGAGACAGGAGUUGGAUGGCAGUUUGUUAUCACCUGACAAUGCAAUUUUAUGUUAAAUUCACCCAAAGUUGUGAUAUAUUGAAAACUGUGUGCAUACAACACCGGGGCAUGGCAGUACAGCACUGGGAGACCCAGCGUUGGUAGCUAGUGAAAGUGAUUUCCAAAGUUUCCUGCAAAUUCAGAUGACUAUCUUAGCAAUUGAGAGACAUGGACAUCCUGGCUCCCAGCUGUGCAUGAAUGGCAGUCUAUGUCAUAUCACUUAGUGCUGAAAAUUUGUUCAUUUAAUUACUCAGCCAGACAGAAAUAUUAAAUGCUGUUUCAGAAUUCUUUAUUAGGGUAUAUGCUUUCCAGUAACUGCCUCACUUGUUCUCCACUAACAGUGGGGGAAAAACCCUCCCCCUGGGUUUUUACUGCUUGUAAGAGUAAACACCUCUUACAAAGAGAUUCUGUUCCUUAGCCAUUUUCUUUUCUGGCUGCAUUUCAUUGGUCUCAAGAAAAUAUGCAAAUUGCCGUGGAUGUUCUUCAGUGUCCAUUUAGAUCUUCCACUUACUUUUAAGAAAAUGCUUAUGGACCAUAUUUUUUUAUUUCCUCUUUGCUCUUCAUUUCUACAUAAUUUCCUAUUGUGACUUUUUAAACGCAUUAUUUUCAGAUUCCAGUCUGCACACAUAUGAAAUAAGUUAUAUUUUGUUCUAUUCUAGACCUAAAUUCAACAUUCACCAUUCAUCUUAACUGUUUCCUCUUAGACUGCAUAAAAAAAUCUGCAAUUCAGAGUCCUCUCUGAUGUCCUGUGGUAAUUCAAGUCUUAGAUAUAUUAUAUUUGCCAACAGUAAAUACUGUAUCCAUUUUUAGAGAAUGAUCCAAUCUGCUUGUAUUUCCUGAUCUUUCUUCUCAUUCUUUUGUUAUGAUAUGCUUUUUGCCUCUUAAUUGUUUCCAUGUGAAAUGGCCUCAGUCACAGUGGCUGCAAUGAAUAGUGUUCAUUUCAAACUCUCAGGGUUUUGAUCACAGCAGAUAACCAUGAACUGGUUACUCCCUGCCUUCAGCAGCACUCCUUAUGGACAAGUAGUAAGUUCUGCAGCAUUGGUAAGUGACAAACACCAAAGACCAAACAUAGCAGGCAAAAGGCAGCUCAGUUAAUGUGAUUUCUGCCCUUUUAACCAAUAGUCUUCAUCCUGCUUUCAAGUUCUGAACAGACAUGAAUUUUUUUGUUUCAGUAUGGCUGAAUAGCAUUAGGAACCAACCUAGGUUCUCUCACAUGAACUGUGUUUAAAAUGUCUUUUUUCUAAUAACUGGGGGGGGUCCCUUUUAUGUUUUAUAUACUGAGGCUGCUUUAUUAAAGUACAAAUCUGAGCCCCUUCAAUGAGGCAGAAAGCUCUGCUGGUUCUUCUGCAUUUCAUGGCUCAAUACAGGGCUGGAUGCACUUAACUGGGAGGUGUGAAGGAGCAUCCUGGAAGAGAUGGAAGCUAAAUAUAUUCUGCUACAAGAUUUCUUCCAUUCCACUCUCCACCCCCAGAUCCCAGAGACUACAAUGGCUUAUGCAGGGUUUUACAUAUGCAGCUAAUGGUGGAGGGAGGAGAAUUCCCACGGAUAAAGAGCUUUAGCCCAGUACCAGCACAGCACACAGCCUGAAGUGGUGCUGGGGUGGAUUCUGAGGAAAAGACUCCCAUCAUUGCUUCCAAAGAGAGGUCCUACACCAUUAUUUUUAGGAAAGGAUUCCUAGCUAGAAGGACAUCCUUUCUUACAGCUUUGAUAUAGGCCCCUGUACAAGGUGGAAAGGGGAUGGGAUUUCAUCUAAACCCCCUGCACUUAGUGUUGUCUCUUACUUAGCUGCAAGGGGCUUCCUGGUCUGGGGAGUUUAUUUUGUUUUGAGCCACCCUCUGACAGCCAGCUGUGUGUGUGCCUCACACAGCUUGCAAGGCUGAAGUGCUGUGGUCCCCCCAAGGCCAGGUACCUGUCGACAGACUUUCCAUCUUUUCCAAGAGCAUUGCCUUCUGUGUAACAAGCCCAACUCCAUAAAAACACAAAACAGCAAAUAAGAGUUUCCUCUCAUUUGCCCCUGAUUUUAUGCUUAUAUAAUUCCACUAAUUUCAUUUGCAUGAGAACAAAACCAGACCUCUAGUCUCUUGGUAGAAAUUAUUUUACAGGGCUGUUAUCCAAACCAGAAGGCCGAGCUGGAGUCCACUUCUGAUGCACAAACCACGACAGCAGAAGUGACAUGCAAAGUGGUAAUUUUAUUCUCAGUCUAUGUUUUUUAUGCAUGUUUAUGUAUGUUGAGUGCAGUGGGCUGGGGGCAGAGAACAGUCAAGCAGCCUUCUCUCUUUCACACAUGAUUGUCUAGCUGACUGGCUUUAUCUCCAGGUACCCAAAAGGAAAUGAAACCAUUAAAAAAGAUAUCUGCAAGCUGUAAACUCUGAGGGGAAGAAAUUACUGUUGGUUUGUCAGGUUUGCAGGUGAAUUACUUAUUUAUGUAGUUCAAUAGAUCUAAUAUUAAUCACAGAUGAAAGACACAAGUUAAACAUGCUUUGCAAACACACACAGUGCCCUCUCAUUUACUUGAGAAUGGGUCAACUUAAAAUUGUUCCUAGACAGGCACAGAUAAUCGAGUGGGGGAGCAGAAAUGAGGAUCAAAUGAAAGCAACCCAAAUUGCUUUUAAAAGUUUCAAAUGAGAAUGCUGCUGGAAGUGCUAUAAAAGAUAACACAAAAGAGCCAGCUAAAAAUUGUGCCUAAAGAUCAAUUUUUUGCAAGCAAUCAUAAAUCUUAACUUCAGCAGCUUUGUGUUCGUCUAGGGGCACUGGACAAGCGAAAAAAAGUUGACCUCAUCAUCAUGUGAAGUUUCCUAUUCCUGUCCUAAGUUGUCAUUGGUAAAAGCCUGCAGCAAAAAUUCCAGUUGUAAACAGUGAUGUGCUGCCAAUGUUUCAGCAAGGGUAGCCCACAUUUUUUCCUCCCUGCAGCUGCAGCACAGCUUGUAUGUAAGCGGCUCCAUGGCUCUAGAGGAGAGGGAUGCAGACCAGCCCCCCCAGCCCUCCCUUCAUUUGCUUCUCUGGUGAAACAUAAAUGCCCUUUCUCAGGUGUAACUAAAAAGGGAGAUCUGUAAUUUGGCAAAUGGACUUUGAGAGCACAAGGUCUUGUUUCUGUGGAGCUGCCCACGGAAAUAGGAGCAAGAAGCUCUUACCCUCUCUUGCACCCCCUCCAACUGCACAGCACAAAGAGGCAUCUGCAGGUUUUGCAUCCUCACAACUCAUUCUCAAACUUGUGGCACUUUUCCAUACCAUCCUUCUGGGAAAGAGACACUUGAUUUUUGGGUAGCUGACCGAGGACCAUAUGAGUGAUGGUGCAGCCCUUCCAGCAAGCAGAUGUUCCUGAAAUGCAGGGUGAAAUUCAGCUCACCCAGACAGCUGUGGGUUAGACUUCACUGCAGAGCUGAAGGACGUGAUGCAGCAGAACAAUUAGUUCCCUUCCAACACAUCUGCCAAAGGCAGCAGGCACGUGCCUCAGCAUGCAGCUCCCACUCUCACUUGCAGGAUGGCUCCCUCAAAUCUAGUUUUAAAAACAUGGGGAUCAGUGACUACUUAUUAGCUGUCUCAUACCUGCCUGGCAGUUUGCUUGGUGCAAUUAAAUAUGUCUCCAGGAUGUAUAGUAAGAGUCAAUUGAAUGUUUAAAGCAUCAUGCAGAUAAUGUACAUGAUGUGGAAAAAUAUACUUGGGAUCGGGUAGCCCAUGACUGAAACAGACAAAAAGAAAAAAGCUCUGGGUAAAGAAAGUCAGAUAAAAAGAGCUUUGGAAAGAAUUUCAGGGAUAGUAACCUCCCUUUGAAAUGUGUCUGUGCAGUCGGCGUCUUGGAGAACCUUGAAAAUGUUUGUAUUUUUUUCCUGCUUUAUAUCCUUAAAAAUAUCCCACUCAUUUUUUCUUCCCCUCAGGCCUAGUCAAUAUUGUCAUUAAAAACUGAAGGACCUCUUCUAAACAAUUGGAAAAAAUGUGCUUGUAAAACUGUGCAAAUACCUGUUUCCAAAAAUAACUAAAUCUGCUGUGGUUUCAGGGACAUAAGCGAUGCAUUUUGAAAUAGGACUAAAUGUUUAUUUACAUGAGAGAGCAUGCUAGCUCUGGUCUACUGAGAAAAUAAUGGGCAUUAAACCCUAUACAGCAGUGAAUAAAAAGUAGAUUUGAGUGAUUUAGUGAUCUACCUUUUCUUUUUAAGAAAAACAACUCACUUUGAGGCUGAGUAAAAGAAUAACUACUUUGUUAGCAACUUAUCUCUUUUGAUUUUAAAACUCUUAGGACUUCUUUGAUGUAAUGGAAGAUAAUGAGAGGCACGGCAAGAAGCAGGUUUAUUGUCCCCUAUAGAAAAAUAUCAAUCCAAAGUUGGAUUGUCAGCUCCUUAACUUGGUCUUCUCUGUGUCAUUGAGUUGAUGUAAUGAGGCUUUAGCACGGUCCUAGCCAGCCAGUGGUGGAUUUCCUUCGAGGCAGAGGCUGUCCCCAGAGGUAAGAAAGCUGUGCCAUGUCCCCACCUGCCUUCAUUGCCCAGCGAAGGAGAUGGCACGAGAGGGAAGAGGCAAAGAGAUGCAGCCUGAGCAGCAGAGGGCUGUGAUACUUGCCUGCUCGAGCAGCUUGCACUAAUUUGAGCAGCCCAAAGGUCAGGACUAUUUAUGCAGAUAAAAGGUCAAUGGCAAGCUGGCAUGUGGCUGCAGGCUAUCUUGGUACGCACUUCACCCGGGGCACUGGUGCAGGCUUCUGAUUCACAGUUUGUCUUUCUGCAUGAACUUUCAGGCCAAGCUUUGGCUGGGAAAAAAAAAUCUCUGCCAUGGGAGUUGACACAGUUAGGAUCCAGAUGCAAUUUUUUUUUUUGUGGCUCAGGCUCAUCUGGGGCUAAAUCAAACCUUUGAAUCAUUUAUUUAUAAAAGCAGCCAAAUUCUGAACUGUUUGCUCAGUAUUUAAGCGGCCCUUGUGUUGGAUAAACCCCUCUGAAAGCAGGCCUGAGUGGAAAUAGAGGAAAAAGUGAGUAAGAUGCUCAGGAUGUGACCUGCUGAAAGAAAGCCAGUGAAAAGCCUACUGAAUUCAACAGAGGUGGAUUCUUCAGCUGUCAGUGUGUGUGGACAUAAAUCUCUUUAAACAUGCAGGAUCUUAGAGCACAAGACUUAAUGACAGGGUUUGAAUUUCCAGAGCAGCUUCAGCUGAGGUGAAACAAUGUAUGUUUGGGUGAAAAAGGGAAGUAGAUAUACUAAGUUAAUCUAGUCAGAUUCUACACUGUAUUUCAAAUUUUACAGUCAAUAAGUGCUUCACCCUUUGCUGUGGUGAAAAUUAAAAUAUAUUUUAACUUUCAGUUCCAGCAGCUGUCUGUUUGCCUGCACUGGUUUUAAAGAAAAUCCUUUUGACUUCUGCUGUAAAUCAGUCCCAUAUGCCUUGGUCCCCAGUAGGAAGUAUGGAAAAUAUUUUGUGACAUUUAAUUACUCCAAAAAAAAGGUAAUGGGAAAGCAUCAUUACAUUGAUUUGUUUUUCAUCACAGAGGUAUCUGGCACCAUGCCCUAAUUAAGGCUGCAGCAAUAACUCUAUUAUAAGCACUGCUUUGCCUCCCCCAGGAAUUUUUUAAUAGUUACCUAUGAUUCUGUCCUUUUUUGUUUGUUAAUAAAGAAAAAAUAUGUUAGGAUGAAAACCUUCUAUGUAGAAAUCUACCAAAACUAAGAGUCUUCAGAUCCAGAAAAACAUAUUUUUCCUCUAAUUUCUUCCUGUCAAAAUGGAGAAUUUCCAAGUACUUCCUUGACCACUGUCUUCCUAGAUCUUCACAUGAGGGGAAGUUUGAACAGUUGCUUGGAUGCAUCUUGUCAAGUUGUGAUGAUAAUAACUGGGUAACUGGGUGGUGCUUCUCACAGAUGAAGGCUUCUGCCCCACAGGUGGGAGAGCUGGUGACUCUUGAUGGCUUCCUCUUACAGCUCGUCAAAGGAACGUCAAAGGAAAGAAAAAGAAGCCUUUGCAGAAUCUGAAAAUAUUGGAAUACAUUCUGCAAUUUCCUGGACUUUAUGCUGCCUCUUGUAAGUGUUACAGUAUUAUUCCCAGUCCUGGGAAAACAGAACUGUACUAAAUAUGAUGACUGUGGGAUUUCUGUUAUCUUGGAGUAAAUACGGGGUAUAUGUUUUCCCUCCUCUUAAGGUAUUUUAGAAAAUGAAACACAGAAAAGGUAAGAUCUUGCUCAGAGUUAGUGUGAGGGCCAUCUCUUCUUUUACUUCAAGAACACAGUUUAGAAAUGGGAUCUCUUACUGCCUCUGCUCAGGCAGCAUUCUCAUCUUCCAGAAUGAUCUCACUGGUGAGAUGAAGACCUAGAGCUAGGUUUUUCUCAUAGGAGCACAGAAAAUACUGCAGGUUUAUGGACAGUGUUCCAUCAGAAAUCCUCAUAAAAUGGAAGCAGCUGUUUAUCUUUUUUAAAUAAAAAAAAGAAAAAUAUUAUGAGGCCCAGUGGCUUUUUACUCUUAAUACCAGUCUAGAGCCUAUUAUUAGAUAUUGUGCCUUCCUCUGGCCUCCCAGUUUUAUGUGAGUGCACCUACCUGCCUUUUUGGACUCUCAUGUCUUGUUUUGUGUUAGUGAGUGGUCACAAUAUAGUUAAAGAGUCAGUUUUAGGUCACCUGACUCAGCUUUACAAUAUCUAGGCUCGAGGUCCCAACAACAGAGCUCUGUAUCCGCUGGCUGCAAACCUGCCUGGCUUCUCGCGUGGGUCUGAUGCUCUGUGAAGGCACCACACUGCUAGAGCUGCCUUGGUAUUCCUGUCUGAAUUACCUAAAAGCAGAUUGGGAUAUGCCUGGGUCAUCUUCAGCAUUGACACAGCCACAGGUAUAUUCUGAAGUGAGUAAUGCAGUCCCUUCUGCCUUCUUGUCUAUGCACCUCCCACAGAAAGUGAAGUGUGGAGGAAUCACCUGUCCAUACUCCCUAGGGGAAGAAUUGCUAUUCCCAUGAUUUUGGGCACUGUGCAGUCCAGAUGUGAGUACUCUAGGGACCAGGCACAAAGGACAGGACAAGGGUUUCAGUAUGUAAGGAGAAACUGCAGUUAUUCCCACAACCAUGUCUGUAUUAGAGGAGGUGUCCUCAUCCAACACAGUCCAUAAGCUUCUGGAUUUUUCUAUCCACUGUUGCCAUCCAGGUGAGGUGAGGGUAGUUUCCCAGCUCUCAGCAACCUGGGUUGUUUCAUCAAUAGGUGCUCGCAGAAUACCAGAAGCCAAAAUGUCUCAUUUAGCACCUUAAAAUUUUGUAGAUAACUAAGCUUUUCGUUACUGAGGGCUGAAUGGGCCUUCCAAAUACAUCUGGGUAGAUAAAUAUUGAUUUCCACCUUAGUUUUAUGCCCAUAAAGCUGGAAUUGAGGAUAAAGGCCUUUCUCAGGGGGGCAGGUUCUCUGUUACAGAAAAAGUUCAGAAAAAAAUCAGACCCACUAUGGGAAAACAGCCAUGAGCAAUUUUCCUUCUGUAUGCAGCAGUUAAAUGCUAAGUUUUAGUACUUAUGAUAAGUAGAGAACUUUUUUCUUCUUAUCUCAGAAAUUCACUUAUAAAAUUUGCAGUUAAUUUCUAAUUAGGUUGUUCAAACUAUUACAAUAAUCUUGAGGAAGCAGCUAUAGCAUUUUUGUACCAUGGCACAGCAUUGUGUAUACAUCAGUCGAAAUGAUCCACUAAAGUAUUAUUAAAACGAUAGAACAAAUUGCAUUUACACAAUAUUAAAUGUACCACAAAGAGUAACUGUGAAAAUUGCUGGCAUAUACAGCUCAUCUAACCUUGGAACUCAAAUUGCUUUUCUAAUUUGCUGCCCUAAUCCUUAAACUGGACUUCUGUAAAACUGCAUUUCUGUGUUGAGGGGGAAGAAAAACAGCACAGAUCACAAACAUUGACAAAUUUAUUAAAUUACGUAGCAAAGAGAGAAAUUAUCAUGUUAAAAAUACUGAGCUGAUAGAACUAUACCUGACCAUUGCAACAGAGAAAUUGCUGUCAUUUGCCAUUAUUGUUCUGUCAGAGGUGCCAGAGUCGCAGCCGCAGCUGGGGCUGGUCAUUUGGUGCAUUUCCCUGCCUCCUGUGGCACCUGUAGGCUCCAGAGAGUGUCACCUAGGCUGCUGAAAAGCAAUUCUGCCUCUCUGGCUACCCCAGUGUACCUGAGGAUCUGCUGGUUUACCUACCUGAGGUUGCCAACAACCCGUUUAUGCAAGGGGCAAAUUCCUCCCUCUCGCAUUGAUUUCACCAGGGUGUUCGCUUUAAUGCUUAGUAAUGCCACUGGAAGUGUCGGUGUAAUUUCACGGGUAGUGUAAUUGCAAGUUAACUUUGUGGCUGAUCUCUUCAACAGAUGGAAGCAGGGUGGGGGUGGUGAUGAAACCCACAGGAAAUGGGUGCUGCUGUAGGAAAACGCAGAUGGAAAAAAGGAGACACAUACGAACAGAGAAAUGGAAGAGAGAGAGAGAGAAAUCAAGGAACCAGGGGAACUAAGAAACACACAGCAGAGGGAGGAUGCUCUGAAUGACCAUUUUUUUAGAGAAAACUAAACGUAACUAAAAAGAGUAUGAAGAAUUUAAUACAAAUUGCAGAUACCAAAUCCUUUAAAGGACAUACACAAAAACAUACAGUAUGGUGGUCAGAUUCUCUGGGACCCUUGCAUUCAAGUCCCUGCUCCUCACCAGACCCUUAAGCCAUAAUUAAUGGGCCUACAACUCAGUCAUGCUGUGGCCCUCGUGUUUCCUAGAGCCUCCAUGCUCAUGAUGACCAGAGGCAAACUCCACAAACUCAAUCAGAAUUUGCUAUCUCAAUACAGCCCUUCCACAAAUUUCUCAUCAAAUCCCUCAAGACCAGUUUCACAGAAAUGCAGAUUUACAACAACUCAACAGAUUCCUUGAGCCUGGGCACCUGAGCAACCUAGGUGUCACAAUGUUUUGCCUUUCUGAGGUAAUGUGAGGAUAAAAGACAGACGCCAAGGAGAAGUCUUGGCACAUCAGGCCCAGCACCAUGCACCCGUGGGCAUUCUGUUGCCAGGACCCAGGCUAAGGUCUCCACAGGAGAUGGUUUUGCUCCACAAAUGCACCAGCACUCUGAUCUGCUCUGCUCCAGAUUUGAGGGUGUGACAGGAAUGCACCCUGAGCGCUGCUAUGCCACUUUUAUCCCAGAUCUAGAGCAGGUGAUGAAUUUUUUUGGUCAAGAACUUUUCUGCACAGAUUCACGCCUCUAGAAGUGUAAAGGAGUUGGGAAUGUCAGAGAAAUCCUCAAAACUGAACCAAAGGGGGCAUCAGGGAGGAGGAAAAUUCGACUGAAGCUCAGCUGUCUGCAUCCAGCAUAGCCUGACCACAGGCAGGGAUUUGCUCCUACUUCCUAUGGCAGUGGUUGGAGGAGGCACGGGUAACAACAACCUUUGCAGUCAUUUCCUGCUCUGGGAAGUACUUUAUUCAUCUGGGUACACAUUACACACUGAAAAAAUGUGAUCAGAGUUUGAAAAGACAAUAGUUCAGAUGUGCUUGAUUUGUGGACUAUAAAUACAGGUAAAGGGAAAGGAGGCCUAACAAACCAGUGCAGCACAGAACAGUAACUGCAGGUAGAUUUCAAGGCUGAAGGCCAGCUUUUAUGGUGGUGUUUCAUGUGUUGCCUAUGAACACGAAGUGGGGAGGAGAGGCACUGUUCUUAAUAAGGGGUCCUUGAUUCUUUUAAGAAACUAGGCCUUCUUCUGUUUCUGAAUUCAGGGGAUACAAGAUCCUGAAAAGAAAGCAGUCCUGAGAAUUUGAAUUAAUGUUCGGGGGAAAAACCCACAGAAUUUUUAUGAGUUCAUUUAUGCCAGUCCCUUCCCAGGCACAUCCUAUUUUUGUGGCCUAUAAACCAAAGACAGUGAAGAACUGAGAUGAGUGAAACCUCUUUAGUGUGCAAAGUGAGAGCCAUCGCUCUAGUUUGUGUACUGACAGUGCGCAGAUAGGUAUAAAAACUUUUACAUACUGUGUAAAU